AAGUCGUAACAAGGUUUCCGUAGGUGAACCUGCGGAAGGAUCAUUAGAAAAAUUGGCGCGCUUUCUCUUUGGAGCCAGCCGCCUUUUUCAUCUACCCUGUGCAUCGUGACUCUUUUUCGCGCUUUGCGAACUUGAAAGUUUCGUAUCAACCUUAUUUAAAAGGCACAAAAUGGAGCAACGAAUCUCUUGGCUCUC
rnacentral:misc_RNA from 1 species